AGCGAACGCUGGCGGCAGGCCUAACACAUGCAAGUCGAACGGACCCUUCGGGGUUAGUGGCGGACGGGUGAGUAACACGUGGGAACGUGCCUUUAGGUUCGGAAUAGCUCCUGGAAACGGGUGGUAAUGCCGAAUGUGCCCUUCGGGGGAAAGAUUUAUCUCCUUUAGAGCGGCCCGCGUCUGAUUAGCUAGUUGGUGGUGUAACGGACCACCAAGGCGACGAUCAGUAGCUGGUCUGAGAGGAUGAUCAGCCACAUUGGGACUGGGACACGGCCCGAACUCCGACGGGAGGCAGGAGUGAGGACUCUUGCGCAAUGGGCGAAAGGCUGACGAAGCCAUGCCGCGUGAAUGAUGAAGGUCUUAGGAUUGUAAAAUUCUUUCACCGGAGACGAUAAUGACGGUACCCGGAGAAGAAGCCCCGGCUAACUUCGUGCCAGCCGCCGCAGUAAAAC
rnacentral:rRNA from 1 species